rnacentral:rRNA from 1 species
GUAUUCUAAGGCGCUUGAGAGAACUCGGGAGAAGGAACUCGGCAAAUUGGUACCGUAACUUCGGGAAAAGGUACGCCCUUGUAGUUUGACCACUUUACUGUGGAAGGAUGAACGGGUUGCAAUAAACUGGUGGCUGCGACUGUUUAAUAAAAACACAGCACUCUGCAAACACGAAAGUGGACGUAUAGGGUGUGACGCCUGCCCGGUGCUGGAAGAUUAAAUGAUGGGGUGCAAGCUCUUGAUUAAAGUCCCAGUAAACGGCGGCCGUAACGAUAACGGUCCUAAGGUAGCGAAAUUCCUUGUCGGGUAAGUUCCGACCUGCACGAAUGGCGUAACGAUGGCCACACUGUCUCCUCCCGAGACUCAGCGAAGUUGAAAUGUUUGUGAUGAUGCAAUCUACCCGCGGCUAGACGGAAAGACCCCAUGAACCUUUACUGUAGCUUUGCAUUGGACUUUGAACCAAUCUGUGUAGGAUAGGUGGGAGGCUUAGAAGCGGUGACGCCAGUCAUCGUGGAGCCAACCUUGAAAUACCACCCUGGUUUGUUUGAGGUUCUAACCUUGGUCCGUUAUCCGGAUCGGGGACAGUGCAUGGUAGGCAGUUUGACUGGGGCGGUCUCCUCCUAAAGUGUAACGGAGGAGUUCGAAGGUACGCUAAUUACGGUCGGACAUCGUGAUGAUAGUGCAAUGGCAUAAGCGUGCUUAACUGCGAGACCGACAAGUCGAGCAGGUACGAAAGUAGGACAUAGUGAUCCGGUGGUUCUGUAUGGAAGGGCCAUCGCUCAACGGAUAAAAGGUACUCUGGGGAUAACAGGCUGAUUCCUCCCAAGAGUUCAUAUCGACGGGGGAGUUUGGCACCUCGAUGUCGCCUCAUCACAUCCUGGGGCUGUAGCCGGUCCCAAGGGUAUGGCUGUUCGCCAUUUAAAGUGGUACGUGAGCUGGGUUUAAAACGUCGUGAGACAGUUUGGUCCCUAUCUGCCGUGGGCGUUGGAAAUUUGAAGGGGGCUGCUCCUAGUAUGAGAGGACCGGAGUGGACGAACCUCUGGUGUACCGGUUGUCACGCCAGUGGCAUUGCCGGGUAGCUAAGUUCGGAAGAGAUAACCGCUGAAAGCAUCUAAGCGGGAAACUUGCCUUGAGAUGAGAUUUCCCAGAGCCUUGAGCUCUUUGAAGGGUCGUUCGAGACCAGGACGUUGAUAGGUCAGGUGUGGAAGUCAA